rnacentral:rRNA from 1 species
UGGGGAAUAUUGCACAAUGGGCGCAAGCCUGAUGCAGCCAUGCCGCGUGUAUGAAGAAGGCCUUCGGGUUGUAAAGUACUUUCAGCGGGGAGGAAGGGAGUAAAGUUAAUACCUUUGCUCAUUGACGUUACCCGCAGAAGAAGCACCGGCUAACUCCGUGCCAGCAGCCGCGGUAAUACGGAGGGUGCAAGCGUUAAUCGGAAUUACUGGGCGUAAAGCGCACGCAGGCGGUUUGUUAAGUCAGAUGUGAAAUCCCCGGGCUCAACCUGGGAACUGCAUCUGAUACUGGCAAGCUUGAGUCUCGUAGAGGUGGGUAGAAUUCCAGGUGUAGCGGUGAAAUGCGUAGAGAUGUGGAGGAAUACCGGUGGCGAAGGCGGCCCCCUGGACGAAGACUGACGCUCAGGUGCGAAAGCGUGGGGAGCAAACAGG